UUGUAAGGUUUAUCUCACCUUGACCUCAUUUUUAUGAUUCAUUGGUUAGCAAUUUUCUAAGUAAGGUUUGUUUCUUGGAUACUAUAAGCAAUAAUAGGCUGUUUGGUUUACAGUAUGAUUUUAUGGUGUCCGUCUUUAGUUUUCCUUCAAUAUUUAGUUUUUUUCUUUGGGUUUCUUUUUUUGCAAGCAAGUGCAUGGUUGAAUGAAAAGUAGCUAUGCAAUUGUAAUAAGACCAGUUCUGUUAACAAAAAAGUAUUGAAUACCAUUGAUAACAAAUAUCUUUAUUACAAAUAGAGUUUAGUACUAAGUAACAUGUAUAAAUAAAAUUCAUACUUCACAACUCUCAACAUACAUAAAAUAUAAUUAUCAUAUUCAAUGAGCCUAAUAAUGAAAUAUUUUUCAAAAUAAAAAUGAAGUCAGUAUAAAUUCUGGUCUGAAUAAUUUGAAUCCACCUUACUUGCAGUGUUUUAUCAAAGCCUGGAUUGAGCUUACCGUUGUACAUUGUACGUACGAAAGACUAAAAUUUUUAAUUUGUUUUUUUAAUUAGUAUGUUGAUAAAGAGAUAUUUACUUUAAAUAUUUGAGUAAUAGAAUUCUAUGUCUUUUAAAUCAAAACAUCAAAAAAUUACAACAUCAAUGCCAUAAUUGUCUUAUGUACCAGAAAUGGAGAGAAAAAAAUCCUUUCAAAAUGCAAAAUGUAACAAUUUUUAAUGAUUUGUUUCUUUUAGAAUCAUUGGAAAAUGAAAAGGUUACAUGUUUUUACAUAUUUGACUUUACAACAUAGAAGAAAUCUUAUAUUAGUUUUUGCUUUGAAAAUUCUCAUUUUACAAUUAUUUAGCAAAAGUUCUUUUUUGGAAAAUCUUUAUAACUGAAACAAAGAGAAAAAUUCAAGUGUUGCCACUUAAUUUUCGUUAAUAUUUUAGGGAACAAUUAAAUGAAAAACAUGAUCUAUGCUCAGAAAUGUUAUUGGAUAGUAAAAAGUAAACCCAUUUUUGUCCUCUUUCAUAAAAACAUGUUUAAGUAAUCAUUGAAAUUCCUUCCAAAAAAUGUUGAACAAUAUAUCUGUAAAAAAAUAAUAAAGUCUAGAUUGUUAGUAAGAUUAAUAACAAAACUAAGCAAAAAUCAACAACAAAAAUAAAGAAUACACUUUAAACAAGAAAUAAACUUUAAAUAACAAAACAGAACCAAAAUCAAAUGCAAAUUGUUAACUCACACAACCUAAUGUUACCUAUGUAAAUGAAACUAGCAACUACCAUAUAAGUCUAAGCUAUUACCUAGACUAAAUAUGUAUUACAAGAGACUGAAUGACAGAAGAAUUAUAACCUAAUGUUACCUAUGUAAAUGAAACUAGCAACUACCAUAUAAGUCUAAGUUAUUACCUAGACUUAAAAUAUGCAUUACAAGAGACUGAAGGCAGCAGUCCUUUUGCGCCAAUUACUGUUUUUCAGGGGUAUCAUUUGCGCCAAAUUUUAUUUUCAAAAUGUAUCAAUUGCGCCAAUAUUCGGAACUCAUUUGCGCCAAUUUACCUGUACAUAUAUCUAUCAUAAAUAUUACUGAAUACUAUAUAUGUAUUCUUAUUUUUGCCCCAAAAGGUAUCACAUGUUAGAAGAUAUUUCACCAUAAAGACGAGUUUCUGAAGAGAAUUAAAUGACUUAAGCAGCAUAAGACAGUCAAUGUACAGAGAGAGAAUAAAACUUAUUGCUUUGCUUAACAAAGAUAUGCCAAUAUAGAAAAUAGAAGUUUUUGCUCUUUAUGUUUUAGCCACAAAUGUUGAUGACACAGAGCUUUGUUCCCACCAUGCGUAUGGGCUUUAUUAUUAUUAUGAACUAUUAUUACCUAUUUUAUGGAUUUCAUCCUUCAAUGUUUGUGUUUUUUGACAAUAAAAAGAAGUUGAAAGCUACUACAUACAUUAAAUUGGGAAGUACCCAUGCAGCAGCAGUAAUAAAAACAUAUGUUUCAGAAAAGGAAACAUGUGCCGUGUUACACUGUCGGUUCCAAGUCCAAAUAAAGGAGUAAGGAAGUAAUUUUUUUUUAACUGGCGCAAUCGUAUGUUUUAUUUUUGGCGCAAAUGAAACCAUCUAAUUUUAAAACAUGUGGCGCAAACGUAGCAUCUGAGAAAAAAAGUUGUGGCGCAAAAGGACGCAUUUUUGGCGCAAACGGAUCUCUCCCAGACUGAAUGACAGAAGAAUUAUAACAAUUUUCAUAAUUCAGCAAAAAUAUCUCGCCAAACAUCUUUUUCGUUAAAUGCAAUUACAUUCUUCUAACAUUUUGUAAAAGGAUAAUUGAAAUUUUCAUGAAAAAUGAGCAAAAACAUUUUCACAACCAUUUUACUUUAUCAUUUCAUGUGAUAACUACUGGCGUAAACAUCUACAUAACCAAAACACAUUCUACGACAGCAAAGCUUAUAUGCCCAUCUUUAGACUUUACUCACAGAUGUUCAAUAUUUUCAUCGAGUUAUCAAUUUAUCACUUUUUACCUGUAUACUUGAUUAGGAUGCACCUAAAUUUAAAUAAUUAACAUUUUCACUAGACCUGAUCAGAUAAAAUUAAUGAAGUAAGAAAUCCAAAUAAUCAUACAUUUAUCCAAUGUACAUGAUAGGCCCUAUUGAAGUAUUGCACACAAACUAUGAUUAAUAAAUGUUCAUGAAACUGAAGAAAUAUGAUUUAAAUUUGACAGUUAAUGCCCCUUAAAUGGUUGAGAUUGGCCUAUUGAAUUUAGUGAAUAUUCAAAGGUCAACUGGUACCAAGUGAUGACAAUAACUUACAUAUACCUUUGGUAAAAGGUAAACUGAAAAAGAUAUUUCAUACCCUUAGAAAAUCUAGUAAGUAAAUCAAUGUAUAAAAAGCGCAUUCCAUAUAUACCACAUAACUUUCAUAAAUAUUUCAAAAUAUGUAUAAUAAUUGUCUAACAUUGUCUAGUGUGUUUUCAAAAAUUUAGUUCAAUUUUUCCAAAACUUCUCAAAGGAAAAAACAAUGAAACACGGAUUUAAAUAAAAAAAGAAGAAGAAAGAACUGAAUUGAAAAGAAAAAUAAUAAGUAUAUUUCAUGAUAUAAAUCAUACUCAAUGCAUAACUAACCUUGCAAAAAGGCCAGGUGUAUUUCAUUUGGUCAACAUAAUAUUUUUUCCAUAUAGAUAAGAAAUGUUUUGUCUAUGUAUAAAAGAAACAUUAAAACAGGUAUAUUUACUGAUAUUCUAAACAUGUCAGU
rnacentral:lncRNA from 1 species